rnacentral:rRNA from 1 species
GAACGGGGAAAGUAGCAAUAUGAGUACUAGUGGCGCACGGGUGAGUAACGCGUGGAUAAUCUGCCUUGAAGAGGGGGAUAACUAGUCGAAAGAUUAGCUAAUACCGCAUAAGACCACAAGAACUGAGGUUCAAGGGGUCAAAGGUUUUUCGCUUCAAGAUGAGUCCGCGUAAGAUUAGCUAGUUGGUGAGGUAAUGGCUCACCAAGGCAACGAUCUUUAACUGGUCUGAGAGGAUGAUCAGUCACACUGGAACUGAGACACGGUCCAGACUCCUACGGGAGGCAGCAGUAGGGAAUAUUGCACAAUGGAGGAAACUCUGAUGCAGCGACGCCGCGUGAGUGAUGAAGGCCUUCGGGUCGUAAAGCUCUGUCGCAGGGGAAUAACACAAUGAAUGUACCCUGUAAGAAAGGAUCGGCUAACUUCGUGCCAGCAGCCGCGGUAAGACGAGGGAUCCUAGCGUUGUUCGGAAUCAUUGGGCGUAAAGCGGGUGUAGGUGGCUUUGUAAGUCAGAUGUGAAAGCCCAGGGCUCAACCCUGGAAGUGCAUUUGAUACUGCGAAGCUUGAGUGCUAGAGAGGUUACUAGAAUUCUUGGUGUAGUGGUGAAAUACGUAGAUAUCAAGAGGAAUACCGGUGGCGAAGGCGGGUAACUGGCUAGACACUGACACUCAGACCCGAAAGCGUGGGGAUCAAACAGGAUUAGAUACCCUGGUAGUCCACGCCGU